UUUACGGGGCUGUGACUCAGAUUUACUUUUGUUCUCCAGUCUGUGGCAUCGGGUCGAUGCCCUUUGCCGUGAGCUGUAGCUUUUCCUCCCAGAACUUUGACUCGAUGUUCUUUGCCAGGCUAUCCUCAGAAGUUUAGGGUGUAACUGAGAGGGGCUCUCAAUAAGCCAGGGCAGGUGUAACCUGGGACAGAUGCUCUGGUGACUGUUUGCUGUUUGUGCUGAGCUGGGGCUCCGUCCUGGCUGCUGUGCCUCUGCUUCUGGGCCGGGCCUGUGUUCCGAGACCAGGCAUACCUUUCCACACCACUGUCACUUCCCCGGCUCUCUCGUCCCCUCCGUCUUCCCUUGGCUUCUGGGCUCAGUGUGGCUCCUGCUCAGUGAUGCGGCAUGAAGAGGCUUUACCCUCUUCAUCUUUUUUUUCUGAACUCAGGCUGGGUUUUCCCAUGGCUUGUAUUUUCCUUUUGCUGAUUCUUUUGAACCAUCCCUUGAGGGGCUCUUCCACAUUUUUGUGCCCUGGCUUUUCACCCUGCAUUGAGCUAUUUUUCCCAUUUUCUUGUGAAAGUCGGGAUUACCCAAAACAAUUUCCACAUCUUCCUCCUUCCUGGCUCACAGGGUGAGUGAUUUUCCGCUCAUCCCCUUCUGCAGGGAGAUGUCUGUCUUUGCUAAGCCAGAACCUUCCAUCAGGGGUUUGCUUGGCACAGCCCUGGGGCUCACGUCGGUGUCUUGCCACCCACAGUUUCUCCACGUUUAGCACACCACUGUUCAUAGACAGCCGGUGACGUUUACAAUACAAACACAAAAUUUUUGCCUGUGGGCAAAAGCUCCUCUUUUUGAGAAAUCUUGAAGUUCUGUAUCUGGAUAAUAUUUAACAUUUUAACAUAUGUCUGAAUUCCUUUCCUUGAUACUUUGUUUUUCAUUCUUAUCCAUGUAAGAUAUGCAGCGCAUUUCUGUGUGCCUCAGGGGAAGAAUGUGGCAGAAUAGAAAACAGAAUCUCUAGCCUAUGUUUCCGAAUGUUCGGUGAUGGAAGACAGAACAGGAUGUCAAGCCUAAACAGAACAUCCUCAUGAAACAAGAAGAUCUUCCUACGCCAGAGCACAGUGUUUCUCCGGGGCAGAGAGAUUUCAACAGCAGUGACCACAUCAACCCUAGCCCAACAGCUCCAUGACAGUCCUGGCCUGGGGAGCUCCAUCUUAGAAAUAUAAGCCUGACUCCCAGGAAACACGUUUUGCAAGGUGAUAAGGCCAUGUACCUGGGAAACCCAAGCAACCAUAUUUGAUAAAGCAAAUAACAACUUGAAUUUGAACAGGGAUUUUUGUCAUGUGGACAAGGAACUCGGAAACUAUAAAAUAAAAUAAUACAUGUUAAAAAACUUAAAUUUUGUAUGGCAAUAGAUAACAUCAUCGACCCUAGAUUGGGGAAAAUUACAGAUAGCUCGAGCUGGUAUUAAUGAUGAGAAACAUCUCUUCGUCAUUUGUAAGAACAAGCUCAGUGCUCAGAGAGUAACGGCAAAGACUGAACAGGAAACUCAAAAGAGCAAAUCCAAGUUGGCUAAGAAACUAGGAAAGAUAAUCAUAGUCCUUAGUAAUCACGGAAAUGCAAAUUACAGCAACAGGAGACACCGUUCUUACCAGGUGGGCAACAAAAAGGGAGAGAAAUACAGGAUUUUUUCCAAACAGACUUGGGGAAAGCGACUUGACAGACUCUCUUUGCAUGAAAAACGGACAGACCUCUCCACCCAGACAUUCUCCUCUUGAGAUUGUAUUUUGGGGAAAUAAAGGCGCGAGAAUGUGAGACCGUGCCUGUGAGGCUGUGGCCCUUCACGUAAGGAUGUAGGAGAGCCCGGAUUUCACAAGGACGACAACCUGUGAACAAACAUCGGCUAGGCCUCGCUCUAGUUGCUUGAGGCAGGAACAGCCCAAAUAACAGAAUAACGCGGCAGAAACAGACUACAAGUUCAUUCCUCUCGCUGGAUGGACACCCGGAGGAAGGCGUUCACAAGCGGAUCCGUGAAGGGAACAGGGACCCGCGUUCCUUCCUGCUCCCCGCUGCUGCUCACGGUCAGGCUCCUGCGGGAAACGCCACCGUUUUACCCACCAGGAGAGCGUUGGGGGCAGGAUCUGGGAAGGAGACACCCCCUUCUUUGCACCUUACGGUGACUUCUCAGGAGAAGGACACAGCCAGCAGAGCCUUUCUCCGUAUGUAUUCCCCCGUGGGACAGGUGCGUUUUGCUGGUGAUAACGUGCCCGCUCCAUGUCAGGUGAUUUGGGGAGGCACCUGCCAUCUCUGCAGCACAGACCAGAGCAGGGGACCGCCACCGACGGAAGUGAUGAGGUCUGUGACAGCUGGAGGGGCCACAGCAGCUUUAUGAAGUUUUCAGAAUCCAUGACCGACUUAUUUCUCUUAAAUUUAUCUUUCCUUGAUUCACAAGGAUGGUGAUUAACACAUAAGUGUGGUUUAAGAGAACCCUUAAAGCUAGAACAUGAAAUGAUCAAUAUUGUGUUUUUGUGCAUUUGUCAGAUUUUCCUUCCCUAAAGGGAGCCUAAAGUAUUGUCAUACUGACGGUCGAGGGCAUCCUAGUAUGAUGAAAUAUGAAAAUAAUUAAAAUUAACCUGGGAAAGGCUGAAGCAACACGAAGACAA